UAAUGAAUUAUAAUUUUUAUUUUGACGAACAGAAGACAAGUGGAUGUCUUUAACAUGUUUCAAUAUCAACUUUAUUUGCUGCCUUGAUAUACAAUACACAAAAUGGGACAUGACAAAAGCUUUCCUGUUAACAUGAUCAUAAAUUAAAAAAACAAACAAAUACGCUUGGCUGUAGAACAUAAUCUCCACAAAACAUGUUUUACCUAACCGUGGAACAAAGAACAGAACAAAGAACAGUUCCUUCUUCCACCCAUUGUUGUCUUUGUUCUUUCUUUGAAGUGUUGAUGUUUAUUUAGAAGGGCAUGCUCUAGUGGUCUGCACUCAUUACAAUAAGCGCAUUUUAUAAAAGCUGUUCUAAGACACUCUUUUCUUUUUUUACAAAAUACAUGAACUUUGUCAGUGCUAAAUUUAGCUAAAGACAACUUAAGCUUUAGCUUAGAGCCCCCCCACUUGCUUAGAGCCCCCCCCC